GAUGAACGCUGGCGGCGUGCUUAACACAUGCAAGUCGAACGAAGCACUUUAUUUGAUUUCCUUCGGGACUGAUUAUUUUGUGACUGAGUGGCGGACGGGUGAGUAACGCGUGGGUAACCUGCCUUGUACAGGGGGAUAACAGUUGGAAACGGCUGCUAAUACCGCAUAAGCGCACGGCAUCGCAUGAUGCAGUGGGAAAAACUCCGGUGGUAUAAGAUGGACCCGCGUUGGAUUAGCUAGUUGGUGAGGUAACGGCCCACCAAGGCGACGAUCCAUACCCGAGCUGAGAGGGGGACCGGCUACAUUGGGACUGAGACACGGCCCAAACUCCGACGGGAGGGAGCAGUGGGGAAUAUUGCACAAGGGGCGAAAGCCUGAUGCAGCGACGCCGCGUGAGCGAAGAAGUAUUUCGGUAUGUAAAGCUCUAUCAGCAGGGAAGAUAAUGACGGUACCUGACGAAGAAGCACCGGCUAACUACGUG
rnacentral:rRNA from 1 species